rnacentral:rRNA from 1 species
GCCUAACACAUGCAAGUCGAGCGGUAACAGGAAGAAAGCUUGCUUUCUUUGCUGACGAGCGGCGGACGGGUGAGUAAUGCCUAGGAAAUUGCCCUGAUGUGGGGGACAACCAUUGGAAACGAUGGCUAAUACCGCAUAAUCUCUUCGGAGCAAAGAGGGGGACCUUCGGGCCUCUCGCGUCAGGAUAUGCCUAGGUGGGAUUAGCUAGUUGGUGAGGUAAUGGCUCACCAAGGCGACGAUCCCUAGCUGGUCUGAGAGGAUGAUCAGCCACACUGGAACUGAGACACGGUCCAGACUCCUACGGGAGGCAGCAGUGGGGAAUAUUGCACAAUGGGCGCAAGCCUGAUGCAGCCAUGCCGCGUGUAUGAAGAAGGCCUUCGGGUUGUAAAGUACUUUCAGUCGUGAGGAAGGCAUCAACGUUAAUAGCGUUGGUGUUUGGCGUUAGCGACAGAAGAAGCACC